rnacentral:misc_RNA from 1 species
GUUUCGAUCUAUCAAGGCAAUCUCGCGUGCUCGCACAUCGGGUCAUUUGAUCAUAAUCAAGAGAUCAAUAAAUUAAUUUAUUUUAAUUAAUUGUGAUUCGGGUUUAUUUCCUAUUAGCAAGUAAAAACUGUGUAGUCAAUAAAGGACGCUACACAAGGUAAUCCAAAUUGUCCUACGCGUACAAUAAAACUAGUUGUAGCCGCACUUAUCACUAGACUAAAUCUAAUUGCGCGAUUGAAUCAACGUUCUUCAAAUAAUGCCGAAUUGUUCUGUUUUUUGCUGCAAAAAGAGAUCUUGCCACGUACAAUUUACUAAAAGAUGGAUUGCCUUUCAUAUAUUUGUUUACCAACAUAGGCCACUCGCACUCAUACAAUAUGCGGAUUGGUCGAGCGACUGAUCUAAAUCUAUUUCCGAGAAGUUGCUGUUACCGAGAGAUAGCGUUGUUACCAGUUUGUUUGUAGAUAGCUAUCGAUAAAAACGGCAAAGGCAAAGGAGAAGAGAGUCAUAUUUGAGAUUCUGAUUUAUUCUGUAAAAAGAAAAAAAAUAAGAUUAAGA